UACGGAGGGGGCUAGCGUUGUUCGGAAUUACUGGGCGUAAAGCGCACGUAGGCGGCUUCUUAAGUCAGGGGUGAAAUCCUGGAGCUCAACUCCAGAACUGCCUUUGAUACUGAGUAGCUUGAGUCCGGGAGAGGUGAGUGGAACUGCGAGUGUAGAGGUGAAAUUCGUAGAUAUUCGCAAGAACACCAGUGGCGAAGGCGGCUCACUGGCCCGGUACUGACGCUGAGGUGCGAAAGCGUGGGGAGCAAACAGG
rnacentral:rRNA from 1 species